rnacentral:rRNA from 1 species
AACGUAGGUGGCGAGCGUUAUCCGGAUUCAUUGGGCGUAAAGAGCUUGUAGGUGGCGGCGUAAGUUGGACGUGAAAUCGCCCGGCUCAACCGGGCGGGGUCGUUCAAUACUGCGCGGCUGGAGGAGGUCAGAGGGAAGUGGAAUUCCUGGUGUAGCAGUGAAAUGCGUAGAUAUCAGGAGGAACACCCGUGGCGAAGGCGGCUUCCUGGGCCGAUCCUGACACUGAGAAGCGAAAGCUAGGGGAGCGAACGGG